UCAGAUUGAACGCUGGCGGCAGGCCUAACACAUGCAAGUCGAGCGGCAGCGGGUCCUUCGGGAUGCCGGCGAGCGGCGGACGGGUGAGUAAUGCAUGGGAAUCUGCCCGAUAGUGGGGGAUAACCCGGGGAAACCCGGGCUAAUACCGCAUACGCCCCACGGGGGAAAGCAGGGGACCUUCGGGCCUUGCGCUAUCGGAUGAGCCCAUGUCGGAUUAGCUUGCUGGUGGGGUAACGGCUCACCAGGGCGACGAUCCGUAGCUGGUCUGAGAGGAUGAUCAGCCACACCGGGACUGAGACACGGCCCGGACUCCUACGGGAGGCAGCAGUGGGGAAUAUUGGACAAUGGGGGCAACCCUGAUCCAGCCAUGCCGCGUGUGUGAAGAAGGCCCUCGGGUUGUAAAGCACUUUCAGCGGGGAAGAAGGCGUGACGGCCAAUACCCGUCACGAAGGACAUCACCCGCAGAAGAAGCACCGGCUAACUCCGUGCCAGCAGCCGCGGUAAUACGGAGGGUGCAAGCGUUAAUCGGAAUUACUGGGCGUAAAGGGCGCGUAGGCGGCCUGCCAAGCCGGAUGUGAAAGCCCCGGGCUCAACCCGGGAAUGGCAUUCGGAACUGGCAGGCUCGAGUGCAGGAGAGGAAGGUGGAAUUCCCGGUGUAGCGGUGAAAUGCGUAGAGAUCGGGAGGAAUACCAGUGGCGAAGGCGGCCUUCUGGACUGACACUGACGCUGAGGCGCGAAAGCGUGGGUAGCAAACAGGAUUAGAUACCCUGGUAGUCCACGCCGUAAACGAUGUCGACCAGCCGUUGGCCCCCUUGAGGGGCUGGUGGCACAGUUAACGCACUAAGUCGACCGCCUGGGGAGUACGGCCGCAAGGCUAAAACUCAAAUGAAUUGACGGGGGCCCGCACAAGCGGUGGAGCAUGUGGUUUAAUUCGAUGCAACGCGAAGAACCUUACCUGCCCUUGACAUCCUGCGAAUCCGGUAGAGAUGCCGGAGUGCCUUCGGGAACGCAGAGACAGGUGCUGCAUGGCUGUCGUCAGCUCGUGUUGUGAAAUGUUGGGUUAAGUCCCGUAACGAGCGCAACCCCUGUCCCUUUUUGCCAGCGGUCCGGCCGGGAACUUCAGGGAGACUGCCGGUGACAAACCGGAGGAAGGUGGGGACGACGUCAAGUCAUCAUGGCCCUUACGGGCAGGGCUACACACGUGCUACAAUGGCCGGUACAGAGGGUUGCGAAGCCGCGAGGUGAAGCCAAUCCCGCAAAGCCGGCCUCAGUCCGGAUCGGAGUCUGCAACUCGACUCCGUGAAGUCGGAAUCGCUAGUAAUCGCGGAUCAGAAUGCCGCGGUGAAUACGUUCCCGGGCCUUGUACACACCGCCCGUCACACCAUGGGAGUGGACUGCACCAGAAGUGGUUAGCCCAACC
rnacentral:rRNA from 1 species